AAUCUAGUGUUUCAAUCUCCUUAUAUUCCAUUAGUCUAGUGUUUCAAUCUCCUUAUAUUCCAUUAGUUUAGUGUUUCAAUGCCAUUAUAUCCCAUGAAUCUAGUGUUUCAAUCUCUUUAUAUCCCAUUAGUCUAGUGUUUCAAUCUCUUUAUAUUCCAUNNNNNNNNNNCUACUUAAGACAUACAUUAGACAAACAUAACACUACUUAAGACAUACAUUAGACAUACAUAACACUACUUAAGACAUACAUUAGACAAACAUAACACUACUUAAGACAUACAUUAGACAUACAUAACACUACUUAAGACAUACAUUAGACAUACAUAACACUACUUAAGACAUACAUUAGACAUACAUAACACUACUUAAGACAUACAUUAGACAAACAUAACACUACUUAAGACAUACAUUAGACAAACAUAACACUACUUAAGACAUACAUUAGACAAACAUAACACUACUUAAGACAUACAUUAGACAUACAUAACACUACUUAAGACAUACAUUAGACAUACAUAACACUACUUAAGACAUACAUUAGACAUACAUAACACUACUUAAGACAUACAUUAGACAUACAUAACACGACUUAAGACAUGCAUUAGACAUACAUAGCAUUACAUAAAGCAUUCAUAAGCCAUACAUAAGUUAAAUAUAACACUGUAAGAUCCAUGUCGGUCAGUCUGAGGUGUGCUGCAGGCGUCUCACUGGCUCAGUGUAGUUUUACAUUAUAGGCUGUUUAAGAUGUGAUUUUUUUAUAAAGCCAGCUGAAUAAGAGUCUGUGCAUUUUAUUUUCUAUCUUGGUUAAACCAGGGGUUGUGUCCUGACUCCUUCAUUGUGUUCCAAAUGGUACCCUAUUUCCUAUAUAGUCCACUACAUUUAACCAGGGCCCUAAGGGCUCUAGGGAAUAGGGUGCAAUUUGGGAUGCAGUUUCUUCUUAUAUAAUCUGCUGAAUCUCUCCACAGAAAUGUUCCUUUCAACCACUCUCUUUUUCUCCUUCUCACAUGCUCUCCUUUUUGUCUGCAGCCAGAAUGGGAGACACAGGAGACCUACAGAGAUUCAUCGACAGUUUGGACCGGGAACUUGCUGAUAUGUGAACGGAAAGAGACGGAGAGAUGUAGACGGAGAAAGACGGAGACGGAGAGAGAGACGGAGAAGGCGAGAGAGCUGCUGAGACCACGUGGAAAGAGAAGAGAGAACAGGCUGCAUGGAUGGCUACUGCUGAACACACACACACACACACACACAGAUCUUAAAUAG
rnacentral:lncRNA from 13 species